GGACAGGUUAGAGAGAGCUGGGGGACAGGUUAGAGAGAGCUGGGGGACAGGUUAGAGAGAGCUGGGGGACAGGUUAGAGCUGGAGGACAGGUUCGAGCUGGAGGACAGGUUAGAGAGAGCUGGGGGACAGGUUAGAGAGAGGUUAGAGAGAGCUG